UACGGAGGAUGCGAGCGUUAUCCGGAUUUAUUGGGUUAAAGGGUGCGUAGGCGGACUACCAAGUCAGCGGUAAAAUUGCGGGGCUCAACCCCGUCGAGCCGUUGAAACUGGCGGUCUUGAGUGGGCGAGAAGUAUGCGGAAUGCGUGGUGUAGCGGUGAAAUGGCGAUAGAGUAUCACGCAGAACUCCGAUUGACGAAGGCAGCGUACCGGCGCCCAAC
rnacentral:rRNA from 1 species